GGUAACCUGGCCUGUGUUCCAACCACAAACCGGCCCGUUUUGCUGUGUGAUGUUGACCAGUGAUGCCGUGUCCGGGCUGUUCUCCAGAGCUUCAUGGAGGAGCUGACAGACCUGCCUUGUCUUCCGCUGUCAGGCCUGGGGACGCAGGACAUUAUUCCCGGGAUGUCGAAAAGCCUUCCCGGAGAAGGGGCAUCUGUCCUGGUCGGAACCGGCUCUUCCUCCUCCUUGCUGUGUGACCCUGAGCAAGCCCCUCGACCUCUCUGGGCCUCAGUUCCUCCGCAGUGAAAGAAGCAUGGCCCCACCCAACACCACUGACCAACAAAGAGCCAUUAUCUCCUGUCGCCCACCCACCCACCCACAGGUGACCUUGACCCAGGGCUCUGGGGUGGGGAGGCCACACGCAGCCUCCGCCCAGCCCCCACCCAUUUCUCAGCCGUGAACAAGUCCAGAGGCACCGAGAAGAAAGGGGGAGGGGUCUGGGGUCUGUCCCAGAGUGGGGGUGGGAUCUGGGCUGGAAUCUGCCACCCCCGCCCCCCGUGGCGCUGCCCCUCUGGCUGCUCACAGCCUCUCCCCGGUGACCGUGGCCAGCGCCAGGGGUGGGAGGCACCGGGCAUAUUGACUGUAUUUGGUGAUCAUCUCUGUAUUUAUAGGGCUGGAUGGGGAUAAAAAUAAAGUGAGGAGGAGCCGCGUGA